rnacentral:rRNA from 1 species
UGGCGAACGGGUGAGUAAUAUAUCGGAACGUGCCCAGUCGUGGGGGAUAACGCAGCGAAAGCUGUGCUAAUACCGCAUACGAUCUCUGGAUGAAAGCGGGGGACUCGCAAGGGCCUCGCGCGAUUGGAGCGGCCGAUAUCAGAUUAGCUAGUUGGUGGGGUAAAAGCCCACCAAGGCGACGAUCUGUAGCUGGUCUGAGAGGACGACCAGCCACACUGGAACUGAGACACGGUCCAGACUCCUACGGGAGGCAGCAGUGGGGAAUUUUGGACAAUGGGCGAAAGCCUGAUCCAGCAAUGCCGCGUGCAGGAUGAAGGCCUUCGGGUUGUAAACUGCUUUUGUACGGAACGAAACGGUCGCCUCUAAUACGGGUGGAUAAUGACGGUACCCCCAGAAGAAGCCCCGGCUAACUCCGUGCCAGCAGCCGCGGUAAUACGGAGGGGGCUAGCGUUAUUCGGAAUUACUGGGCGUAAAGCGCACGUAGGCGGAUCGGGAAGUCAGAGGUGAAAUCCCAGGGCUCAACCUUGGAACGGCCUUUGAA